UACGUAGGGUGCGAGCGUUGUCCGGAAUUACUGGGCGUAAAGAGCUCGUAGGUGGUUUGUCGCGUUGUCCGUGAAAACUCACAACUCAAUUGUGGGCGUGCGGGCGAUACGGGCAGACUGGAGUACUGCAGGGGAGACUGGAAUUUUUGGUGUAGCGGUGGAAUGCGCAGAUAUCAGGAGGAACACCGGUGGCGAAGGCGGGUCUCUGGGCAGUAACUGACGCUGAGGAGCGAAAGCGUGGGGAGCGAACAGG
rnacentral:rRNA from 1 species